ACCGCAUCAAUUUUGGUCUGAUGCAAUUUCCUUGCCGUGCCUUGAACCAACAUGAAAUUGUCAUGCAGGCAGCGGCCCUUCACAAAGGCACUCUAAUGCGGCCCCACCAGCCGAGGGAGGGCUGGCGCCAGCCUCGUAGCCAUAACCUUCAUGAAAAGUUUGGCCACACUAUGGAUCAGGCUAACCGGCCUGAAAUUGUGAUAUUUUUUUCACCAGGUAAAUAGGUAUUGUUAUUAACUUAUUGCUGAAUAUUUAGUGAAGAAAGAAACAAGCCAUUCAAAAAGUACCGAUCGAUAUAUAAAAAAUAAAAACAAAAACAUUGCUACAUCCUGAUGAGUCAAUUCAAGAUUUUUUUCAGUAGUUAAAGGACAAUGUAUUAGGGUCAACAAUUAGUAGUUAAAAUUGCAGUCCUGCAGGUGUGCCUUUUUCAGUUACAAUUCUUGGCAGUGCU
rnacentral:lncRNA from 1 species